rnacentral:rRNA from 1 species
GACGAACGCUGGCGGCGUGCUUAACACAUGCAAGUCGAACGGAAAGGCCCUGCAUCUGUGGGGUGCUCGAGUGGCGAACGGGUGAGUAACACGUGAGUAACCUGCCCUUGACUUUGGGAUAACUUCAGGAAACUGGGGCUAAUACCGGAUAGGAGCUCCUGCUGCAUGGUGGGGGUUGGAAAGUUUCGGCGGUUGGGGAUGGACUCGCGGCGUAUCAGCCUGUUGGUGGGGUAGUGGCUUGCCCAGGCUUUGACGGAUAGCCGGCAUGAGUGGGUGACCGGCCAGAUUGGGAGUGAGAUACGGCCCGGACUAAUUCGGGAGGCAGCAGUGGGGAAUAAUGCACGAUGGGCGGAGGACUGAUGCAGCAACGCCGCGGGCGGGAUGACGGCCUUCGAGUUGUAAACCGCUUUCGCCUGUGACGAAGGGUGAGUGACGGUAAUGGGUAAAGAGGCACCGGCUAACUACGUG